GAUGAACGCUGGCGGCGUGCCUAAUACAUGCAAGUCGAGCGAACAGACGAGGAGCUUGCUCCUCUGACGUUAGCGGCGGACGGGUGAGUAACACGUGGAUAACCUACCUAUAAGACUGGGAUAACUUCGGGAAACCGGAGCUAAUACCGGAUAAUAUAUUGAACCGCAUGGUUCAAUAGUGAAAGACGGUUUUGCUGUCACUUAUAGAUGGAUCCGCGCCGCAUUAGCUAGUUGGUAAGGUAACGGCUUACCAAGGCAACGACGCGUAGCCGACCUGAGAGGGUGAUCGGCCACACUGGAACUGAGACACGGUCCAGACUCCUACGGGAGGCAGCAGUAGGGAAUCUUCCGCAAAGGGCGAAAGCCUGACGGAGCAACGCCGCGUGAGUGAUGAAGGUCUUCGGAUCGUAAAACUCUGUUAUUAGGGAAGAACAAAUGUGUAAGUAACUAUGCACGUCUUGACGGUACCUAAUCAGAAAGCCACGGCUAACUACGUG
rnacentral:rRNA from 1 species